GACGAACCGAGCGAACGUUAUUCGGAAUCACUGGGCUUAAAGGGUGCGUAGGCGGGCCCGUCAGUCAGGGGUGAAAUCCCACGGCCCAACUGUGGAAGUGCCUCUGAUACUGCGGGCCUGGAGGGGGAUAGGGGCGUGCGGAACUUCCGGUGGAGCGGUGAAAUGCGUAGAUAUCGGAAGGAACACCGGUGGCGAAAGCGGCGCGCUGGAUCCCUACUGACGCUGAGGCACGAAAGCCAGGGGAGCAAACGGG
rnacentral:rRNA from 1 species